rfam:Acetobacterium wieringae strain DSM 1911 ACWI_contig000052, whole genome shotgun sequence.
GAAGGAAGGCCCUUCGGAACCGCCAUUCAGGUGGAGGUUUCAAACCACCUUAAGCUGCUCUGGUAAAGAGUCAGGGUAGUGAGCGUUAAGGAAAAGGCAACCAAAGAGUUGUCAGGU